rnacentral:lncRNA from 1 species
ACUUCGUAGGUUUGCUAGUUCUGGGGUCAUCAGUUUGGACCUAGUUAAGAGUUGUUUUGCUUUCUAGAAACAUAGGCAUUGUAAGGUCCGAAACAAAAAAAAAUCUAUUUGGCUAGAAAAAACUGAGGAAAUCACAGUUGCAUUCAUUGUGCAAUUAAAAAAUUACAGUUAAAAUCCCCAAGCAUUUAGAAAAAUCAUAAUUACAACGAUCGUGUAACUGAAAUUUUUUUAGUUGCAACCACAUGCAUCUGGGACAACCGUCGUGUGGAAAAAAUACGGUUGCCGUCGCGGUGCAAGUGAACAAAUGAUAUUGCAACCUCAUGCAAUUGGAAAAAUUACAACUGCAACUCAAUACAACUGGAAAAAUUACAAUUGCAACCCACUUGCAACUGAUUUCAGUUGCGUCUAGACCAAUAUAAAUCUCCGCGUCACAUCCAACGGCUAAGGAGUCAACCGAGAUGUAAAUCCUUCUUAAAAGAUACAUUCUGGUGUCUACGUGUCAUGAGCAACAAACGAGAAAAAUAAAAAACCUCGGUUACACACACUUCGACAAUUGUACAACAACAAUUUUGUGAAAAGAAACGUUCCAAUUAAACAUUGUGCGCAACUGCUCCUACCUUAGUUAGGUGUUCUCAGCCCCGCGGAGUAAGUACAAAAUGGCAAAACUAGAGUCAUCUGCAAACGCACACGUUUUGAAGUAACUCAAACACCAAGAAGAAAAGAAACAAAAAAUAAAUGGCUGAGACCGAUGCAUCAUACAAGCUAUACUAAUCACCAACCACCAAACCAACUAGCUCAUGCUAUAUUUAUUCAGUUCUUUACGCUAUUUGAAUCGGAAAUUUCACCUCCUUAAUUACAACACAAAUCUUGACGUUUGAUCUGACAGUCCAGAUCGUCAACUGAGAAAUUACAGUUUCUCAGGCGACUGAGACGUAGCAAAUCUGAUAUAGUAAAUACUUCACCCAUCCCAAAAUAAAUGUUGUAUAGAAGAACUAGACUCGUUAGUCCAGUAAAGCUAAAAUUUAAUCACUGGUUGUUUAGUUUAUAUCCUUCUGUAACAAAACAAAGUAUCCC